CCCAAUUUGACCAAGCAGCCACUGAAGAGAGUCCCACCGCCGACGCUGGAGAACCAACCCCCAUGAAAUCCGCUGUAACUUGAGCAGUCGGUGCUACCCAACCGGUCUUCCCGCACGAUUGGAGUGUUUCCUUCAAGCUUGGUGUUCGUUGCUGCCAUCGUCCCGCGCGCCUCCCUCGUGCUACCGUCGAGCGUCAGUCGUCGACUAGGAGCUCCCCGUCGCCGUCGCCUGCCCGCCGGACAUCCGCACGCCCAUGUGGACCUGUGUCGCACCAUACUCAUCUCUGAACGCCGCAUCUUCUUUGCGUUGUCUGUGGUUUGCCGUCAACGAAUCUAACGCCACCGUUCCCUCUGCCUGAUCGCGACGCUUCUCUUCGUCCCCCUCUUGGACUACAAAAGGUCAGUAUAAAAGUUAUCGUUCUACUCUAUAGUGUAUGUUUGUUUGACACCUAGGCUUCAGAUGUUCUUUGAUUAGGUGUAUGCUGAUUUUGAAGUUUAUGGUGGUGCAAUGGGAUUGAGUUCUUGCUGUUUAUAUAUGGUGGGGCUCCAUACCAGACUCAGGAGAGUAAGCUUAGAAGAGGCGUUGAUAUUGUUGUUGGCACUCCAGGUCGCGUGAAGGAUCAUAUAGAGAGGAAAAAUAUUGACUUGAGCCAGUUAAAGUUCCAUGUCUUUGAUGAGGCUAAUGAGAUGCUCAGAAUGGAUUUUGUUGAAGAUGUGGAACUAAUUCUAAGCAAGGUACAAGAUGUUAGUAAAGUUUAGACACUUCUUUUCAGUGCUACUUUGCCAGACUGGGUUAAGCAUGUAUGUAUUGUCAUCAUCCUAUGUUUCAGUGCUACUUUGCUAGCCAUUUCUUGGGUAAAAAACCUAGCAAUGAUACAAAAAAAGUGCAGCCAAAGAAUUUAAUACCAAACCAGCAGAAUGGAGAGCCACCUCAAGAGAAGGUAUUUGACAAAACAAUGGAUCCAAGAUGAAAGAGGGA